AUUGAACGCUGGCGGCAGGCCUAAUACAUGCAAGUCGAGCGAGCGGCGGACGGGUGAGGCAUGUCUGGGAAACUGCCUGAAGGAGGGGGAUAACUACUGGAAACGGUAGCUAAUACCGCAUACCAUCAGAUGCGCCCAGAUGGGAUUGGCUCGUUGGUGGGGUAAUGGCUCACCAAGGCGACGAUCCCUAGCUGGUCUGAGAGGAUGACCAGCCACACUGGAACUAGGACACGGUCCCGCCUCCUACGGGAGGCAGCAGUGGGGAAUAUUGCACAAGUGGCGGUAGCCUAAUUCGGCCAUUCCGCGUGUGUGAGGAGGGCCUUCGGGUUGUAAAGCACUUUCAGCGAGGAGGCGUUACUCGCAGAAGAAGCACCGGCUAACUCCGUGCCAGCAGCCGCGGUAAUUC
rnacentral:rRNA from 1 species